rnacentral:rRNA from 1 species
UGGAGCUGCUCGCUGACGACCGGCGCACGGGUGCGGAACGCGUAUGGAACCUACCUCAAUCAGGGGGAUAGCCCAGGGAAACUUGGAUUAAUACCCCAUAGUAUUGUUUUAUUGCAUGAUAGAACAAUUAAAACUUUGGUGGAUUGAGAUGGCCAUGCGUAUCAUUAGCUAGUUGGUAAGGUAACGGCUUACCAAGGCGACGAUGAUUAGGGGCCCUGAGAGGGGGAUCCCCCACACUGGUACUGAGACACGGACCAGACUCCUACGGGAGGCAGCAGUGAGGAAUAUUGGACAAUGGUCGGAAGACUGAUCCAGCCAUGCCGCGUGCAGGAUGACUGCCCUAUGGGUUGUAAACUGCUUUUGUACGAGAAGAACACCCUCUUCGUGAAGAGGACUGACGGUAUCGUACGAAUAAGGACCGGCUAACUCCGUGCCAGCAGCCGCGGUAAUACGGAGGGUCCGAGCGUUAUCCGGAAUCAUUGGGUUUAAAGGGUCCGUAGGCGGGCUAUUAAGUCAGAGGUGAAAUUGUGCAGCUCAACUGUAGAACUGCCUUUGAUACUGAUAGUCUUGAGUUAUGGUGAGGUAGCCGGAACAUGUGGUGUAGCGGUGAAAUGCAUAGAUAUCACAUAGAACGCCGAUUGCGAAGGCAGGUUACCAACCAUAUACUGACGCUGAUGGACGAAAGCGUGGGGAGCGAACGGGAUUAGAUACCCCGGUAGUCCACGCCGUAAACGAUGGAUACUAGCUGUUGGGUUUUCGGACUCAGCGGCCAAGCGAAAGUGAUAAGUAUCCCACCUGGGGAGUACGUUCGCAAGAAUGAAACUCAAAGGAAUUGACGGGGGCCCGCACAAGCGGUGGAGCAUGUGGUUUAAUUCGAUGAUACGCGAGGAACCUUACCAGGGCUUAAUGGGAGAUGACAGAGCAGAGACGCUCUUUUCUUCGGACAUCUUUCAAGUGCUGCAUGGCUGUCGUCAGCUCGUGCCGUGAGUGUCAGUAGUC